AAAAUAUGGACUUAUAAUCUACGGCAGUGAAUGUGAUGAAGAGUAUAAGUGGAAAUGUUUUCUUCUCAAGAUGAACUACUAUACAUUCUGACGUUAUGGGAUAAUAACACAACAGUCCUGUUCGCUCUCUCCGAUCCCUUUUGCUAGGGUGGAGACGUGACUGUAGUAGUUAUGAUGCGGAA